AUAGAUCCUGAAACCGCAUGCUUACAAAAAGUAGGAGCCUCGAAAGGGGUGACUGCGUACCUUUUGUAUAAUGGGUCAGCGACUUACAUUCAGUGGCAAGGUUAACCGAAUAGGGAAGCCGUAGAGAAAUCGAGUCCGAAUAGGGCGAUCAGUCGCUGGGUGUAGACCCGAAACCAAGUGAUCUAUCCAUGGGCAGGAUGAAGGUGCCGUAACAGGUACUGGAGGUCCGAACCGACUAAUGUUGCAAAAUUAGCGGAUGACCUGUGGAUAGGGGUGAAAGGCUAAACAAACUUGGAAAUAGCUGGUUCUCUCCGAAAACUAUUUAGGUAGUGCCUCAAGUAUUACCUGCGGGGGUAGAGCACUGUUUUGGCUAGGGGGUCAUGGCGACUUACCAAACCAAGGCAAACUCCGAAUACCGCAGAGUACAGCUUGGGAGACAGAGCACCGGGUGCUAACGUCCGGACUCAAGAGGGAAACAACCCAGACCGCCAGCUAAGGUCCCUAAAAUUGGCUAAGUGGGAAACGAAGUGGGAAGGCUAAAACAGUCAGGAUGUUGGCUUAGAAGCAGCCAUCAUUUAAAGAAAGCGUAAUAGCUCACUGAUCGAGUCGUCCUGCGCGGAAGAUGUAACGGGGCUAAGCCAGUUACCGAAGCUGCGGAUUUGCAAUUUAUUGCAAGUGGUAGGAGAGCGUUCUGUAGGCCUGUGAAGGUGGUGGUGUAAACCCUGCUGGAGGUAUCAGAAGUGCGAAUGCUGACAUGAGUAGCGUUAAAGGGGGUGAAAAGCCCCCUCGCCGUAAGCGCAAGGUUUUCUACGCAACGUUCAUCGGCGUAGAGUGAGUCGGCCCCUAAGGCGAGGCAGAGAUGCGUAGCUGAUGGGAAACAGGUCAAUAUUCCUGUACCGAUUACAAGUGCGAUGUGGGGACGGAGAAGGUUAGCUCAGCCAACUGUUGGAUAUGUUGGUUCAAGCCUGUAGUCGUGCCUGGUAGGCAAAUCCGCCGGGCUUAGAUGAGGGGUGAUAACGAGUGUGCUUGCACACGAAGUGAGUGAUACCCUGCUUCCAGGAAAAGCCACUAAGCUUCAGCUUGUAAUUGACCGUACCGCAAACCGACACUGGUGCGCGAGAUGAGUAUUCUAAGGCGCUUGAGAGAACUCAGGAGAAGGAACUCGGCAAAUUGAUACCGUAACUUCGGGAGAAGGUAUGCCCCUAGUAGGUGAACUUGAACAAAGGGAGCCCAACGGGGUUGCAAAAAAUCGGUGGCUGCGACUGUUUAAUAAAAACACAGCACUCUGCAAACACGAAAGUGGACGUAUAGGGUGUGACGCCUGCCCGGUGCUGGAAGAUUAAAUGAUGGGGUGCAAGCUCUUGAUUGAAGUCCCAGUAAACGGCGGCCGUAACUAUAACGGUCCUAAGGUAGCGAAAUUCCUUGUCGGGUAAGUUCCGACCUGCACGAAUGGCGUAACGAUGGCCACACUGUCUCCUCCUGAGACUCAGCGAAGUUGAAAUGUUUGUGAUGAUGCAAUCUCCCCGCGGAAAGACGGAAAGACCCCAUGAACCUUUACUGUAGCUUUGUAUUGGACUUUGAACAGAUCUGUGUAGGAUAGGUGGGAGGCUUUGAAGCCCGGUCGCUAGAUCGGGUGGAGCCAACGUUGAAAUACCACCCUGGUGUGUUUGAGGUUCUAACCUAGGUCCAUUAUCUGGAUCGGGGACAGUGCAUGGUAGGCAGUUUGACUGGGGCGGUCUCCUCCCAAAGCGUAACGGAGGAGUUCGAAGGUACGCUAGUUACGGUCGGACAUCGUGAUAAUAGUGCAAUGGCAUAAGCGUGCUUAACUGCGAGACUGACAAGUCGAGCAGAUACGAAAGUAGGACAUAGUGAUCCGGUGGUUCUGUAUGGAAGGGCCAUCGCUCAACGGAUAAAAGGUACUCUGGGGAUAACAGGCUGAUACCGCCCAAGAGUUCAUAUCGACGGCGGUGUUUGGCACCUCGAUGUCGGCUCAUCUCAUCCUGGGGCUGUAGCCGGUCCCAAGGGUAUGGCUGUUCGCCAUUUAAAGAGGUACGUGAGCUGGGUUUAAAACGUCGUGAGACAGUUUGGUCCCUAUCUUCCGUGGGCGCUG
rnacentral:rRNA from 1 species